GCUACAGGCUUAACACAUGCAAGUCGAGGGGCAGCAUUUCAGUUUGCUUGCAAACUGGAGAUGGCGACCGGCGCACGGGUGAGUAACACGUAUCCAACCUGCCGAUAACUCGGGGAUAGCCUUUCGAAAGAAAGAUUAAUACCCGAUGGUAUAAUCAGACCGCAUGGUUUGAUUAUUAAAGAAUUUCGGUUAUCGAUGGGGAUGCGUUCCAUUAGGCAGUUGGUGAGGUAACGGCUCACCAAACCUUCGAUGGAUAGGGGUUCUGAGAGGAAGGUCCCCCACAUUGGAACUGAGACACGGUCCAAACUCCUACGGGAGGCAGCAGUGAGGAAUAUUGGUCAAUGGGCGCAGGCCUGAACCAGCCAAGUAGCGUGAAGGAUGACUGCCCUAUGGGUUGUAAACUUCUUUUAUAUGGGAAUAAAGUUUUCCACGUGUGGAAUUUUGUAUGUACCAUAUGAAUAAGGAUCGGCUAACUCCGUGCCAGCAGCCGCGGUAAUACGGAGGAUCCGAGCGUUAUCCGGAUUUAUUGGGUUUAAAGGGAGCGUAGGUGGACAGUUAAGUCAGUUGUGAAAGUUUGCGGCUCAACCGUAAAAUUGCAGUUGAUACUGGCUGUCUUGAGUACAGUAGAGGUGGGCGGAAUUCGUGGUGUAGCGGUGAAAUGCUUAGAUAUCACGAAGAACUCCGAUUGCGAAGGCAGCUCACUGGACUGCAACUGACACUGAUGCUCGAAAGUGUGGGUAUCAAACAGGAUUAGAUACCCUGGUAGUCCACACAGUAAACGAUGAAUACUCGCUGUUUGCGAUAUACAGUAAGCGGCCAAGCGAAAGCAUUAAGUAUUCCACCUGGGGAGUACGCC
rnacentral:rRNA from 1 species